rnacentral:rRNA from 1 species
CGUGGGCAAUCUGCCCUUCACUCUGGGACAAGCCCUGGAAACGGGGUCUAAUACCGGAUAACACUCCUGCCUGCAUGGGCGGGGGUUAAAAGCUCCGGCGGUGAAGGAUGAGCCCGCGGCCUAUCAGCUUGUUGGUGGGGUAAUGGCCUACCAAGGCGACGACGGGUAGCCGGCCUGAGAGGGCGACCGGCCACACUGGGACUGAGACACGGCCCAGACUCCUACGGGAGGCAGCAGUGGGGAAUAUUGCACAAUGGGCGAAAGCCUGAUGCAGCGACGCCGCGUGAGGGAUGACGGCCUUCGGGUUGUAAACCUCUUUCAGCAGGGAAGAAGCGCAAGUGACGGUACCUGCAGAAGAAGCACCGGCUAACUACGUGCCAGCAGCCGCGGUAAUACGUAGGGUGCGAGCGUUGUCCGGAAUUAUUGGGCGUAAAGAGCUCGUAGGCGGCUUGUCACGUCGGAUGUGAAAGCCCGGGGCUUAACCCCGGGUCUGCAUUCGAUACGGGCAGGCUAGAGUGUGGUAGGGGAGAUCGGAAUUCCUGGUGUAGCGGUGAAAUGCGCAGAUAUCAGGAGGAACACCGGUGGCGAAGGCGGAUCUCUGGGCCAUUACUGACGCUGAGGAGCGAAAGCGUGGGGAGCGAACAGGAUUAGAUACCCUGGUAGUCCACGCCGUAAACGUUGGGAACUAGGUGUUGGCGAC